GACGAACCGCGCGAACGUUGUUCGGAAUCACUGGGCUUAAAGGGCGCGUAGGCGGGUGUUCAAGUCCGUGGUGAAAUCCUCCGGCUCAACCGGAGAACUGCCUCGGAUACUGGAUGUCUCGAGGGUGGCAGGGGUAUGCGGAACUAUCGGUGGAGCGGUGAAAUGCGUUGAUAUCGAUAGGAACUCCGGUGGCGAAGGCGGCAUACUGGUCCACUUCUGACGCUGAGGCGCGAAAGCCAGGGGAGCAAACGGG
rnacentral:rRNA from 1 species